rnacentral:lncRNA from 1 species
UAACCAACUGAAGAGAGCCAUGUUAUAAAAAGCUUCUCUUGGAACAGAAUGCCUUGUUAAUGCAUCCCAGAUAGGUUAUCCCAGUUUGCACUCUCACCAAUGAUUAAUAAUGUUGAAGGAUAGCACAGAAGCAGAGACUUUAAGUCUAAACAGACCUAGAUUCAGAGCAGACCCGAUGCUGCUUGAAGAAGGCUGGAGGUAUGUUAAGGAGACAAGGGCUGUCAAGAAGCAGGGAUGUCUCUGGAAAGGGUGAGCAGCUGACGUCCUUUGUAAGUUCUCUGGGCAGCAUUGAUGGGAGGUGAAAACCUUGGGAAGAGUCUUGGUUUAACAUGGACUCUAAAUGGUAAAAAGUAAUUAGGGCCUCCUUUUUUUCCAUAAACUAUGAUAGACACUCUUAUAAAAUAUCUGUGUUAUCCUAGCUGCUUUUCUAUGAUAUUUUUGGACCCCUGACUUAUUUACACAAAUGAAAUGAUAGCUUUUGGUUGGAAAUUUCAAAUGUCUAAGGCACAAAUUAGACAUGGGACUUCAUUCACACUUCUCCUCUAGAUCUUAAUCAAGACACCCUACAAGCUAUAUUGGACAUUGCACAACGUUUACAAGUGCAAAAUGUACCGAACAUGUGUCAAGAAUUUUUAAAAUUUGCCAUUGUGGAGCAGUGCUCCAGCAUGAUUUGUAAUAGUGCGUUCUGCCUUCUAAAAUGUUUUGACUGCUGGUGGUAAUUGCUUUACAAGUGAAAAUUAGCCUCCUCAGUUCUCAGAAUACUUGUAAUCCGAGCAUAUCACACCUCCACAUUUUGCUUGUGAUGCUCUCUCUGUACCUUUUAUCUUCUUAGGCUGUUGAAAUAGUUCAAGUUUCAACUCAACUGUUGUCUACUCCGUGAAGCCUUCCUUGAUCCUCC